rnacentral:rRNA from 1 species
CCUACGGGAGGCAGCAGUGAGGAAUAUUGGUCAAUGGGCUUACGCCUGAACCAGCCAAGUCGCGUGAGGGAAGACUGCCCUAUGGGUUGUAAACCUCUUUUGUCAGGGAGCAACGCCGGCUACGUGUAGCCGGACUGAGAGUACCUGAAGAAAAAGCAUCGGCUAACUCCGUGCCAGCAGCCGCGGUAAUACGGAGGAUGCGAGCGUUAUCCGGAUUUAUGGGGUUUAAAGGGUGCAUAGGCGGAAUGCCAAGUCAGCGGUAAAAUCGCGGGGCUCAACCUCGCUCCGCCGUUGAAACUGGCGUUCUUGAGUGGGCGAGAAGUAUGCGGAAUGCGUGGUGUAGCGGUGAAAUGCAUAGAGAUCACGCAGAACUCCGAUUGCGAAGGCAGCAUACCGGCGCCCAACUGACGCUGAAGCACGAAAGCGUGGGUAUCGAACAGGAUUAGAUACCCUUGUAGUC